rnacentral:rRNA from 1 species
UACGUAGGGUGCGAGCGUUGUCCGGAAUUACUGGGCGUAAAGAGCUCGUAGGUGGUUUGUCGCGUUGUUCGUGAAAUCUCACGGCUUAACUGUGAGCGUGCGGGCGAUACGGGCAGACUAGAGUACUGCAGGGGAGACUGGAAUUCCUGGUGUAGAGGUGAAAUUCGUAGAUAUCAGGAGGAACACCAGUGGCGAAGGCGGCUUUCUGGACGAUAACUGACGCUGAGACGCGAAAGCGUGGGGAGCAAACAGG